ACUCGAAAGCGAGCUGUCCGGGUGCCGCCCCGAGUGGAGUGAGCCGAGCCUUGCUUACCAGCAUCUGCGCCUCCGCACACCGCGAAGGCGCCCAAUUGGAGGUGCGGCCACGGCCAGGGCAGGCGGCACAACGCCGGUAAAGGGAAGAAAGGGAAAGGCCGGCCCAAGACCUCCGGGAAGAAGCAGAAGCUGAAGAAGCAGGAAGUGGACAUCAUGAGCCCCGCAGCCAUGCUGAACCUGUAUUACAUUGCUCACAAUGUUGCGGACUGCCUGUACCUGCGAGGCUUCCCCUGGCCAGGGGCUCCCAAAGGGAAAAGGGGGAAAAAAUAAGAUUUAGGUGAUAGAAUUCAAAGCACGCCUUGGUCUCAAAGAACAGAAAGUAGGAGAAUGCAUUUAGGAUAACUCAAGGACUUCGGCCAAACGGGCUCUAAAAGACAAGCGGAAACACAGAGCCACUGUGCUUUUCUGUGAUAAGCAAUAGCAAACGCCGUUUUUUAUUUCCGAAGCUAAGCCAGGCACUAGGUAAGCCACUUUGGUUUUUCAGAAGUAAUCAGGAAAAGUAGUUCAUAAAGGUUACCCUGGCACUGGUAGUAAUUUUUUUUAAAUAUUAUAAUCAUAAUUCUAGACUGAAUUAAACCUUGAUCUCAGAAGGCAGCUCCAGUUUGUGUGAGUCGUUUUCUUUGGUGAGGGGUCGGCUCAGAAAGGACCAGGCAGAAAGCUCAGGCCUAACUUGUAAACACAUUUUCUGCUGUGGUUUGGUGUUGGGUUUUCUUUGUUUUCUUUUUCGAUGCUGGGGAUGAACCUGGGGCCUCUGUUCAGGAAGAGCCAUUAAAUUACCCCUAGCUGCCCCUCUUCCCCCCUCCCCCCCGUUUUUUAACAAAAUGGAAAAUAAAUAACUUGUUUUUAU
ensembl:lincRNA Smkr-ps smal lysine rich protein 1, pseudogene